rnacentral:ncRNA from 1 species
UAAGGAACGUUGAAAAGGGAAAGUAGAAAGUGGCUGACUUAUCCAGAGAGAAUCGCCUAGGCUGAGAGCGGUUUUAAGUGACAUUUUUGAAGUGCCCCUUGGAGUCUGUUAUGGAAAUAGUAGUACAUGACAGCGGCACUCUACCGUUAAUGGAGCACAAGUUGGGAGAGAACCUCCAAACAGAGUGGAACCGCGCAAAAAGGCGUCUCUGUG